rnacentral:lncRNA from 1 species
UCGAUUAAGGAUUGAAUAAAUAAAAUAGUUUUAAUCAUGAAAUAUAUCGAUUGAAUACAGGAACUCAAUAUCUAAGCAUUCAUCGUGCUAGUUAUGUCUACGACAAAUCAAAUAUCAGAGUGAUCCGUGCAUCAAUAAAUAUAAAACAUGACUAAACUAUUUAAUAAAUAAAUAUGAGAGAAUCAGAACAUAUGAAAAGAUGUAAAUUAAUUAAAAUCAAAGUUCAGAGUUUACUUCAUGAAAGCAAUAAGCCAGGGAUCUUCCAUCACCCUUGACCAAAGAAGUUAGCCUCCCAUUACAAGCGCCAGCAUCUCUCCCCCUUUUUUUUUUUNUUCUUCUUUUCGGAAAUAGGGCAUCCCCUGUUUCUCUCUUCUUUUUAUUUUUCAAUGGCUCCCGACUCCUCUUUCAAAUGAGAGCCCACUCCCCUUGAGCCGAGAGAUAUCCUAUAUAUCCCACUCUCCUCCUUAACGAAUCAAAUGAAUCUCCCUAAAUCUCGUUUGCUGGGAACGUGGAAGGGAUGGAUGGACACGAGGAGGAAUGGACGCUGAGUAGGAGGCGGACGGCUGGGAGAUGGUAAUGGAUGAGAGCUGCGGCAGGAUCUUUGGCAUGUGUCACGGGAAGAAGCUGAUAGCGGAGGAUUGCACGCGAACGGGUGAAAUUCGGGAAGUGAAUCAUGGACGCGGGCGCUUGGGAUCAAUCCGGAAUGUUGAGCCGGAAUUUCUGGGAUUCGGAUGAUUGAAAU